UAGGGAAUAUUGCUUAAUGGGCGAAAGCCUGAAGCAGCAACGCCGCGUGAACGAAGAAGGCCUUCGGGUCGUAAAGUUCUUUUACGUGGGAUGAGGAAGGACAGUACCACGAGGAUAAGUCUCGGCUAACUACGUGCCAGCAGCCGCGGUAAAACGUAGGGGACGAGCGUUAUCCGGAUUUACUGGGCGUAAAGAGCGUGUAGGAGGCGCUACAAGUUGGAUGGAAAAGCUCCCGGCUUAACUGGGAGAGGUCUGUCAAGACUGUAGAGCUAGAGUAAGGCAGAGGUAGAUGGAACUCCGGGUGUAGUGGUGAAAUGCGUAGAUAUCCGGAAGAACACCAGAGGCGAAAGCGAUCUACUGGACCUUAACUGACACUGAGACGCGAAAGCCAGGGUAGCAAACG
rnacentral:rRNA from 1 species